ACAAAAUAUGGCGUUGAAAUUUACUUUGCGAGACUACUGAAGAAAAAAGAAAGCCAUGCCAUACAAGUUGGACUAUCUUAAGAGUUCAACGACCUUUAACAGGGGGCUUUAAAGUUUACAAGUAUUCAAUUUUGAGGAGCUUAAAAUGGGCAUACGUAAAUCAAGAUAUCAAGUAUUUCGGUAGAUCGUGAUGGACAAUGGACAGACCUGCCACGUGUUGAAACAAGCUGGAACCGACAUACAUCCCAACUACUUGUUGUUUCUUCUUGGUCUCUUCUACUUCUUGGGCAAGUUAUUCUUUAUGACGUGGAUACCUUCGGGGGAGAGACGCCAAAGUGACACCACUGCCGAAUGUAUUAAGAAUUAGAGUUCGCAGAGGUGCGCACAAUCUAAAAUGAGAUGGGGUGAGAGAGGCGGCGAGUGGCAUAAGACAGCCAAUCAUAGCUAGAACACAUCAUUCGCAUCGACGACGGUGUUUCUUAGAUUGCGUUUGCUAGACGCAAGAUCACCAGAUGUAGUGUACUGAUAGGGCAAGAAGUCAUACGUUUGCUGAUAAAUACAAUGUUGAAAGCACUUUUCGAAAGCAACACGUCCGGUCAGAGAAAAUUGAGCGGCAACUGGACCCGCAUGGCAACGCCAUGAAAAAAUGCAGCUUGCUGGUACCAAUACACAAGAGCGUCACACACAGCCACACGCACACGCACACCGUAUAAGACGAUUCGAACACGUAGACAAAAAACGCACUUUGCACACCAACAACAAUAGUUUAGUUGCAGAACACGAAUAUAUUGACAGUUAAAACUAUCAAUUAAUAAAAAGGGGAGUAAAUUCGCUCAGACGCCGGCAAAUGUUUCUCUCUGACAGCAACGAAGUGACGUCGCGUUGGCAGCGUCCCUCUGAAACUUUAUUUGAUUGGCAAUUGCGGUCUUUCUACGCGAAAGUAAACUGCAUAAAUGUAUUUAAAUGACCGAUUUUGAUUAACUAGCCCACUUCAUUCUUUUUAGCACCAGCUGGAACCAUUUAGCACAUUACAAAUUUUAGUUUAACUUUUUAAUUUUUUUUAUACCUGUGUUCAGUCUCGUAUAACGAUAUGAAA